GUGUCGCCGCCGCGGUAAUACGGAGGGUGCGAGCGUUAAUCGGAAUUACUGGGCGUAAAGCGCGCGUAGGUGGUUUGUUAAGUUGGAUGUGAAAUCCCCGGGCUCAACCUGGGAACUGCAUUCAAAACUGACUGACUAGAGUGUGGUAGAGGGUGGUGGAAUUUCCCGUGUAGCGGUGAAAUGCGUAGAUAUAGGAAGGAACACCAGUGGCGAAGGCGACCACCUGGACCAACACUGACACUGAGGUGCGAAAGCGUGGGGAGCAAACAGGAUUAGAUACCCUCGUAGUCC
rnacentral:rRNA from 1 species